rnacentral:rRNA from 1 species
AUUGAACGCUGGCGGCGUGCUUUACACAUGCAAGUCGAGCGGCAGCAUGGGAGCAAUCCUGAUGGCGAGCGGCGGACGGGUGAGUAAUACAUCGGAACGUGCCUAAAAGUGGGGGAUAACUAGUUGAAAGAUUAGCUAAUACCGCAUAAACUCUGAGGAGUAAAGCUGGGGAACGCAAGGCCUGGCGCUAUUAGAUCGGCCGAUGCCCGAUUAGCUAGUUGGUGAGGUAAAUGCUUACCAAGGCGAUGAUCGGUAGCUGUUCUGAGAGGAAGAUCAGCCACACUGGGACUGAGACACGGCCCAGACUCCUACGGGAGGCAGCAGUGGGGAAUUUUGGACAAUGGGGGGAACCCUGAUCCAGCAACGCCGCGUGAAUGAAGAAGGCCUUAGGGUUGUAAAGUUCUUUUGUCUGGGAGCAAAGGACAUUUGUUAAUAGCAGAUGUAGAUGAGAGUACCAGAAGAAUAAGCACCGGCUAACUACGUGCCAGCCGCCGCAGUAA